UGAGAAAUCUGCCCUGGACUCUGGGAUAAGCGUUGGAAACGACGUCUAAUACCGGAUACGAGACGUGAAGGCAUCUUCAACGUCUGGAAAGAACUUCGGUCCAGGAUGAUCUCGCGGCCUAUCAGCUAGUUGGUGUGGGUAAUGGCCCACCAAGGCGACGACGGGUAGCCGGCCUGAGAGGACGAUCAGCCACACUGGGACUGAGACACGGCCCAGACUCCUACGGGAGCAG
rnacentral:rRNA from 1 species